rnacentral:tRNA from 1 species
UCCCAGGUGGCUAAGUGGUAAAGAAUCUGCCUGCCAAGCAGGAGACUUGGGUUCAAUCCCUGGGUUGGGAA